GUUGCAUCCUCAUACACAGUUCGGCUGCAAUAUUGAGGGGGACCAGUCUCCAGGUGACGCUGCCACGCUUGAUAGCUCAUAUUAGAGGUGGAAUGAUCCAUCAUUUGUUUCCACGUAGGGCCUCCAUCUUUCCUCUCAACAAGAUGCCACAAAUGAUCCAAAUCUUCAUCUGAUAUUGGUAAAGUAUUCAACCUUGAUGGACCACUGUCAAAUUGUUCAAUCUCUGAGCCAGCAUCCACAUAAGAAGCAAAACUAGGGGGA
rnacentral:misc_RNA from 1 species